CUCGUACGACCCCCUCACCCCCCGAUUUUCUUUCCCCCGUCCCAGUCCCACCUCUCGUACGACCCACUCGAUUUUCUUUCCCCCUCUGGCCUGCUCCUCAUGCCGGCGUCCGGCGCCACCGCUACCAACCUCCAGCCGUCGUCCAAAACAACAGCACCAUGGAUCCCGAUGUGGAGCUCCACUGCAGCCCGAUCUGACCUGGGAGCGACCAGAUCCGUGCGUCUCCGCCUCGCUCCGCGUGCCUCCAUGGUCCGCCGUCUUCCCGAGCGCCGGCGCCCCGCGACCAGAUCCGUGCGUCUCCGCCUCGCUCCGCGCGCCUCCAUGGUCCGCCGUCUUCCCGAGCGCCGGCGCUGCGCUCAGCCGCCGCCAUCCCAUGCCAUGGUCGCCUCCCUCCAGAACGACGUGCCGUGGUCGCUUCCCUGCCUCUCCCGCAAGUGGGCCUUUGGGUUUCUUUGCUUUUUUUCAGGACACUAGGUGCCAGGUUGGAGAUUUGGGAUCGGAUGCGCCAAUAACAAGGGACCAAGGUGAUGAACUAACGGCACGGGCAGAAUGAUUCUUCAGGAUGAAUCAGAAACUGAAGAUGAUGAUACAAUGGACACAGAAGAAGCUUCCUCUGUCCUCAUCACUGCACUGUAGUCUUUCAGCCAAGCUCUGGUGAAUGAUGACGGAGAAAAAGAUAUCGUGACAGAGGUUCAUGUCUUCUUGUGUCCAACCCUAGAUCACAGGGGCUCUCUUAUCAGCAAAAUAGCUACUCUAGAUGCGCAGAUGACGAUCCAGCCGCGGUUGCGCUUUAUCUCGUCGGGACGAAAUAGCCCUGCCUUGUCCCUGCCGCCACCGGUAGAGGCUAUUUUCCAUAGGCCAAGGAAACAACAUGGACAUGCUGCCCUUUUUCCCAAUCAAAAUACUUCUGUGUGGAGAGCUCGGGCGUCGGUGGCUGUGUCGAAGCAGAGCUCGGUCAUCGGUGACAGCACGGCCGGCUGAUUUGCGACUGGUCGGAUGGCGAGCUUCACAUACCUGUGCGCGUACGCAUGGGUAACACACUAUAUUGGCCACGCAAGAGCAAGUUCACAGUGAUUACAAGGGGAGAGAUGUGCUGCACUUAUGUCAGUAAUCAGGGCAGGCCCAUAUCCAUUAUAUGCAUAUUUUGUUAGUACUAUUGUAAUUUAGCAAGUUCUUGUUCUUUCCGUAAGUUGUUUGCUGAACAUUUCAUGCCGCCUUGAGCAUGCAAAAGUACUUCUGAAUUUUGCAUGAUAUUUUGUUAGUCAUAAAUCACGUCACACACCACAUCUAUUUUUUUUUUUGGUAGUUUAAAAAUAACUAUUCUAAAUGUUCUUUUAAUAACUAUUCUAAAUGUACUAUAGACCGAAGUCAGAAUAUUGGUAAGCUCAUUCUUUUUGUAAGCUAUGGAGAUGAAUUUGAUGAGUUGUGUGAAGAUGAAAAGAAGCUGAUGGAAUAUACUUUGAUUAGCAGUGACCUUGGAGAGCGAAUGGUGCCCCUACAUAGACUUUACUGAAAAGUUGCUAUUUAAUGUUUUUUUGGUUAGAGAAAAGAUCACAGUGGACACAACUGCAGAAGCAGCGAUUCAAUGUUUUAUUCAGUUUAACCAUGACUAUUCUUUUCAUUCAGAUAUGCUAUGAACUAAAUUAUGUAUCUUCUUCGCCCUUGAAUUGGAUAAUUACCUUGGUUUCAUCUUUUGACUCAGAUAUGCGCAAGGAAUUGAAUAGGUGCUGGUUUUUUAUCAUAAUCUGUCCACCGACAAUGCAUACGAAAGUAGAUAUGAAGGACUAUUUUAUGCCAUUUGAUUGGAACACUAAACUAGGUUUUGUUGGUUCUUGAGUGAAAAGAUAGUUGAUGGUGGAACAAGGUGCCCCAGAUUAAUUAGGAAAUGAGAAAGUUGCAUUUUGGUGAUCCUAUUUCUUUCUCUCCAUAGCAAUGCAUGUGGGUUUAACGAUAUACAAUCUAUAUAUGUCUAUUUCAUCAACUAAUACAUGUAUUGCACAUGUUUUGUACUGUACCAAUAGGAAGGUAAAGAGCUCUUGGUUGAUUUAUUUUUGAAAGCAUGACCUAAAAUACAUCACCAAUGCAUAAAUGACUAUUGUUCUCCCGUUGCAACGCACGGGCAAUUACCUAGUACAUGUAAAAAAUAUCUUGACUUACCUGGCCUAUUGAACAGGACGGAUCAGAAGUUGGUCAUGCCCUCGCCAACAUCGCGGCUUGCCGUGGAAUGGAGUACUGCACCUCUGCCUUGAGAAAAUUACGGCGUGCUUUGCGGAAUAUAGUGUAUGGCUACAGCACCGCCGCAUUACGUAAAUCGCGGCAUGACUUGUCCCAGAUUUCCUACAUUGCCUAUGGUGUCACUACUUAGGGCCUAAGAUACGGACGGGCGCCGGCACAACGCCAUGGGUGAUUUUCACUUUUUUUAGGGUUGACUCCCAGCCAAUCUGAUUCGCUGCUUGCAUGAACUCUUUAUUAAUUCAUCCGAUGGCUGUUAAUAACUAGCAUGUAGAUCUGAUGGACAGUAAAAGUAUUUUUCAAGGAUUAACGUGGAGCUUUAUUGGUGCCUCCAAUUAGUAAAUAUAAGAUUUGCAUUUCAGUUAGUAAACUUAAGCCGUUCAUGCAUUGAUUGAAUAGAUAUCAAAGAAUCCUUGAGCACUUGUUCUUUAGAUGUACAACAGCAAGGUAUGUUUGGGGUGUGGUUAAGAGCUCUACAGGCUUUGAAGACAUGCCUGACAAUGUAUGAUGUUUUAGCUCCUGGAUAGAUAAACUCCCUAUUAAAUUUAGCAGCUAGUAGCUGUGGCUGUAGCCGUAGUAUUCCGGCCUUUGUGCAAAGUCUGAAAUGCGGCUAGGUUUGAUGAUGUUUAACUGUGUGGUUCCAGUGUUAUUACUUUUCAGAUCGCUCACUGUUUGUCCUAUUGGUCCAGAUCACAUAGAGGAAAGGGCUCCAGGAGCUACAGGCCAUGGCAUCGCUGCUGUCUAAAAUUGCCAUGGAUUUCUCGAACAUGAGCAAUGGAUGGCCGCCAAUGACUCUCAGACUAGGGGUGGGCUGAAGCUCCUGGCUCGCUUGGCUGGUGUUAUUACAUCAGGAACAAAGCGCUCCGUGAGACCAUACUAGUGUACUGCUGAUGGCAUUCACGUCCUGAAGCAUUCACGAUGAGGUAUCAUUUCAGCACAAAGAGAAAAAAAAAUCAUUAAAGAAGACUGAACCUUAACUAACAACUGUCAGAGAACAUGUUCUCCUAGCUAACGACAGCAGAUAGUACAUGGAGCCUCUUGUGACGGCCCGAGGUAGCACUACAAGAAUCACCUGGAACUCGUUCCAC